AUGGCCUUGAGAAAAUCCAACAAACUUCCACAAGCUGAAGUUAUCAAGCAAAUUCUCAAAAGAUGUUCAAGUUUUGGCAAAAAGCAUGGUUAUGAUGAAGAGGAUCUUCCUGAGGAUGUACCAAAAGGUCAUUUUGCAGUUUAUGUUGGUGAGAAUAGAACAAG